rnacentral:rRNA from 1 species
AACGAACGCUGGCGGCAUGCCUAACACAUGCCAGUCGAACGAGACCUUCGGGCUUAGUGGCGCACGCGUGCGUAACGCGUGGGAACCUGCCCUUAGGUUUGGAAUAACUCCCCGAAAGGGGUGCUAAUACCGGAUCAUGUCUUCGGACCAAAGAUUUAUCGCCUUUGGAUGGGCCUGAGUGGUCUUGGCUGGUUGUUAGGGUAAAAGCCUACCACGGGUACGAUGCGUAGCUGGUCUGAGAGGAUGAGCAGCGACACUGGUCGUAGGACACGGCCCGGAAUACUGCGGGAGGCAGCAGUGGGGAAUAUUGGACAAUGGGCGAAAGCCUGAUCCAGCAAUGACGCGUGAGUGAUGAAGGUCUUGGGGUUGUAAAGCUCGUUUAUCCGGGAUGAUAAUGACGGUACCGGGAGAAUAAGCUCCGGCUAACUCCGUG